CUCCCUGUGGUGGAAUUGGCAGACACAGCGGAUUUAAAUCCCGCUGCCGCAUGGCAUCCGGGUUCAAGUCCCGGUGGGGAGACCA
rnacentral:tRNA from 1 species